rnacentral:lncRNA from 1 species
GGAAUCCUGUUCGAGUUAUUGGUAGCUCCGAUAGGAUUUCCUCCAGGUUGACGCACUCACAGCUGAUGGGAGCUACGCUUGUUUUUUGAAGGUUUGUUCUCAAUCCGGUUGCCUCAUCGAAGAGGCUCAGUAGUUGUGUGGUGUUUGCGAUGUCUACAGCUGUUGGUUUUAUGAAGAUCACUGCAUCAUCGGCAUACACUGAGAUACGUGCGCACGCGUCUCCCCCC